GACGAACGCUGGCGGCGUGCCUAAUACAUGCAAGUUGAGCGCUGAAGGUUGGUACUUGUACCAACUGGAUGAGCAGCGAACGGGUGAGUAACGCGUGGGGAAUCUGCCUUUGAGCGGGGGACAACAUUUGGAAACGAAUGCCAAUACCGCAUAAAAACUUUAAACACAAGUUUUAAGUUUGAAAGAUGCAAUUGCAUCACUCAAAGAUGAUCCCGCGUUGUAUUAGCUAGUUGGUGAGGUAAAGGCUUACCAAGGCGAUGAUACAUAGCCGACCUGAGAGGGUGAUCGGCCACAUUGGGACUGAGACACGGCCCAAACUCCUACGGGAGGCAGCAGUAGGGAAUCUUCGGCAAUGGACGAAAGUCUGACCGAGCAACGCCGCGUGAGUGAAGAAGGUUUUCGGAUCGUAAAACUCUGUUGGUAGAGAAGAACGUUGGUGAGAGUGGAAAGCUCAUCAAGUGACGGUAACUACCCAGAAAGGGACGGCUAACUACGUG
rnacentral:rRNA from 1 species